AUUACAAUAAUUUAUAGGUUAAAUAGAUAUUACAAAUCAGUUCUGUAACGUUAAGAUGAUCGUUGAUCGUUUCAUUCUUUCAAGCCGAGUCAUUGAAUAUUUCUUCCAAUAUAUUUAUAUAUUUCUUCAAAUAUCAAGUUAAUUUGAGGAAAAUGAGGUAUAAUAUAUCGCAAAUCAUUGUAACUGUAGCAAUUGAAACGUUAAUUCAAGACAAUAAAUACAAAUAUGACAAGAUCGCGUAGCAUAAAUCGAUUAAAAGUUUUGCUGAAUCGAGUAAUUGCGAUACGAUAAAUCGAUUUUGCGAUAUUGUUGCGCAUUGAAUAGUUGCGCAUCUGGUAAUUAUACAACUAUUCGCCAUAUUACAUCUCGCGAGAGAUUGAUCGAUCGAUUGUACGCGAUUAAUUUCGAAACUCUGGCAAACGUGAAACGUAUGUACGGGGAACAGUGGGAAGAAUAGAAAGUACAAGUGAAUUAUUUCUCUCGUGUAAUAUCGUCGCGGCUCCACAGAUGCGGACGAUAAUAUCGAAUCAGCGUGCAACUCGCUUCCUACAACAGUUGCAAACGGAUCACGAUUUAUCGAAGCGAACGUACUGGCGACAUUACGUCAUACCGACAAAGAAGAAAUUAAAUUAAUCGAAUAAAUUACUUCGCAUCGUAAAUACCUUAUGAUUGCGUAUACUAUUCAUUAAUUAUAUUUUGGUGGGUCCAAAGAGUUCGUUUCGGCAAAUAAAUUGACACAAAUGGCUUCAAUAGGUUUCUAUUGUUUUCGGCGAAUGAAAGGUUAGGACGAAAAGGCAGAUUCGCGACGUUCUGGGCUCGAGGGCAGCAUGGAUGAAUGCGAAGAAACCCCCAUUAAGUUGUUACGCCGACUUAUCCUCCUGCACGUCGAUUAAUCGCCGUCUCAGUUCGGUGCAACGACAUUUCGCCUUCCUCAUAGGGAGGCGUCUUUCGCCGCUCUUCUCGUUUUUUCCGCACGAAAUUCCGCCUCAAGCUUGUAGACGAGAAGCGCCACUCGAAAAGGACGUUCGAUACGAGGAAGAGGUUAGGUCCUCGCCCGCGGACCCCUCUCGACCGUUCUCGUGAUAGCUGUGAGGGCCGUUUAUUAAGGAAAGGUUUACUCGUUGAGCCGUCUCUGGGCCGAUUUCUGCAGGUUUUUGACCGCUCUAGGAAUUCAUCCUCCGCGCGGAUGAACGUUACACUUCAUGGUUUCAUGGCCCGUUCCACGCCUUCCAAAAUUUUGUCCCUCGAGGAAAGGGUUCAUUUCGAAAGAAUUUUUCUCCUGUGUCUCGAACUUCUUUGAAAAUGAAGGUGCUAAAGAUGGUACAAAAAGCUUGUAAUAUUUUUAUUCUAUAAUGAAGAAUGGAUUAAACAGAAUCGAAUGAUGUUUGCUUGUCUUGAAAAACUUAUUGAUAUUUCUUCUAUCAAUGCGGCACGAUCACGUAACAUACACGAAAUACAAUACGACUUGUGAAUACGAUUCCAAACUGUGACAACAGUAGAGCUCGGUGUUCCCGUCUCAACAAUGGAGGCCCGUCGUCACUUUUGAGAGACAUCCGGCAGCCUUUGGUCGGCUCUUUUUUCUUUUCGGAAUCGGCUCACCGCUGCGAGAAUCCUCUUCUACGAAUCGCGUUUGGCCGAUCCAAAAGAGACUGUACAGGUCGUGCAGCUCGUGCUCCUUUUAUUUUACGGCGCUGUGUGCAAAUUGGCCAGAGGAUUAGAAUCGCGAGCAUAGGCUGCGUGCUGCGUGCCCCGGAGCGAUGAAUUAUUAUUGUCUCGUGCCACACGCAGCCACGCUUCGCGUUUUAUGCACCCGUGUAUACGAGCAUCCUCGAAAUCGAAAUAGGCAGAGAGAAACGACUGCGUAUCUCCCUCUUUGACGAGAAGUUUCUCCUAUUCGUGGAUUCAAAGUCGUCAAACCAAAUAGCUAAGAAUUAAUUUCUCUUCCUUAGAUAAAAGUUUCUUUUUAAAAUGAUGCAAAUGAUUCAACUUCGUCAUGGACUUUCUCUUUGAAUGAAACCAAAUACCAACGAAGAACAAUUUUGAUAAAAUUCACUGUUAAAAUAAUGAUUCAACUUCAUUUUUCUUUCUCUUCACGUUUCAGAGCAGAGAGGUUAGCAAAAUUUGAGGUUAAAGUGUUCAAGAAUGAUUACAUUUUAUCAAUUCAAUGCAUCGAAUACACAGGUUUUAUGCAAGAUCAAUCAAUUAUUAUUAUAUAUCCAGGUCUCGACAGUUAAAUUAUCCUGCUAUUCUAGAAACCUUGUCUGCCUUCAUUGUCCUUUCAACCAGGCUGCAUAACAACGUACGUUUCAAAGUUCUCGAUAUCUUGAUCUUCGCUUCCAACGUUCGCCUCCCACAUCACAGAACACGUGCAUAUUCAGCUUACACACCGAAUUACCUUCAUGGAGCAAGAUUGCCUGGUGGAAAGCGAGACGUGACAAUGGAAAGGAACGUCGUUAGAAAUACUUUUGGAACCAGCAGAGAGAGAGAGAGAGAAAAAGAGAGAAUUUUUGCAUCGUUCCUCGAGGAGGAAUGUCGGUUUCGAGGUUCCAUGAAGACAUAUCAACCUUUCCACGAUACACACGCACCCACAUUCAUUGUAUGGCAAACCCGAUAUCUCAUCGUAGGUGGAGGAGGCACGCCACGAGUUAUUGACUCGUUUGAUCCUGGGUUACGCCCCGACCUACCUUAACUCUGACUUACUAUCUUGCCACGAGAGGCAAGAUCGGCCCACGACGCGACGCCGCCGAUUUCCGCUCCUCGAGGAACAUCGUUCACCUCGUUUCUUUCUGUUUCUCUCUGAAUAAUGAAUAGGGGGUAAUGAAAAUCCUUUUGGAGGAGGAGAAAUAAGACAGAAGUUGUUUCUGUCUGUUCCUGUUGUUUCAUUGAAGAGAAUUCGAGAAUUUGCCUUAUUUUUAUAUUAUUGUAUGUACAUGGAUAUUUUUUAAUUGGAAUAGUUAAAUUGAUGGGAUAUAAUUUUCAGGAGGAAUUUCAGGGUUUAUUUAUAAACCCAAAUUGUAUGAUGGAGUUAAAAUUUUUUGGAAUACAGAAAUGAAAUGUAAAGAUCUUUGAGCAAUGAUUUUUAUCCAAGUAAGUUUUUCACCAAUCUACAACAAUAUACCAAUAUAAUAAUAUAUUAUAUAAUUAAUAACAUAUUAAUAAUGUUUUUUUAAUAAUGUGACAUGUUUGAAAUCAAUUUUCCUGAUGAAGAGGUACUGUAAGUAAAAUUUGCAAAUAUAUAUCAUGUCAACAUUAACAUUAACUUGUUUUAUAAGAUUCCCUUUUGGGUAAAUUCCACUUUGAAUUGAAUAUCAAAUAUUUUUUCUUUGUUGAAUCCGUGUUUGCAGAGAGUAAGUUGAAUGCCAGUAAAAAAAAAAGAAUUAAUAAUCUCAAUUAUCAUUGGGAUGCAUGAUAAAAAUAUCUUUACACAUAUCUCGAUUAUCUUUAACUUCAUCGUUCACUUUUGUAUUUUAUUUCUCGUUAAAAAUUGUUUUUUCAUUGAAUUCUAUAUUUUUCAGGGUCCAAAUUAGAUGAUUCAUCCAAGAGAAUCUCUCAAUUGAAGGAAAAGCACAAUACGAAUAAUCGUGCCAAUUUUAAGAAGAUCUAAGAAGAUAUUAUAUUGAGAUAUAAUCUCAAUUAUCAUUGGGAUACAUGAUAAAAAUAUCUUUACACAUAUCUCGAUUAUCUUUAACCUUAUCGUUCACUUUUGUAUUUUAUUUGUUAAAAAUUGUUUUUUCAUUAAAUUCCAUAUUUUUCAGGGUCCAAAUUAGAUGAUUCAUUCAAGAAAAUCUCUCAAUUGAAGGAAAAGCACAGUACGAAUAAUCGUGUUAAUUUGAAGAACUAAGAAGAUCUAAGAAGAUAUUUCUUCUUCUCCCUUCGUUGGAAGUUCCACGUGUCGAAUCGCCGAUCUCCAGAAACUGCACACGUUGCAAUCGUACUCCAACGCCAAGAAUCGAUCGAUCGAAUCGGAUUCGCUCAUAGAAUUGGAAUUUCACAUUUUUAUCACCCAACUCGUAUUACGUUCAACAAGUUGACCAACGAUCGAUAUCCGAUAGCGUCAAUUUCCUUUCAUCGAUCUCUGUAAACGAAAUGCGACACAGGCAAAAUUUAAUAUUUGAAAUUACGAAUAAAGUUCAACAAUAAUACAAUCAUAGCUAUGAACAAAUAGUUAUUACAUAUAAAGCUUAUUUUAAUAAGUAAUUAACUCGAGGUAACUUUAUUCGAAAUUUUUAAUUUUUAAUUGGUUAAUUUUUUCAACUACAAUGUUAAACAAUUCUGGCGAAAAAUCGUGGAGCGUGGAGAGACUUGCCUCUAGGUGGAGGUGGCACACCUGCCCUCGAAUAUGGAGAGAGGAGAGGAGAUUCGCGCACGUAUGUUGGAAGAUGCGCCGACAGACACGCCCUGGUUAAAUGCUGGUGAUGAAUGCGCGAAAAAAGGAGGGGGGAAGGAAUCGAAAGAUCGGUGGCAAAUCGACGCUUGUCCCCUUUUCCAUCUCGAAUCCGCCCCCGGGAAUGCAAAUGAUGUAUCCGUCUCUAGGAGGGUAGCCAAGCCUCCCCCGUGACUUAUCAUGCUUAAUUACACGGUCUACCGUUGAAUUAUCGCCGUUUUACGAUAUUAAAGAGGGGGCAAUUAGCCGUUUUUUCGUUUCCUUCCUCCGGGGUCUAGAUCCCUGCUUUCAUCCAAUCAAGAAUAUGUCUGUGUUCGCGACGCCUGUGUAUAAUAUAUGUAACGCGGAAUAUAAAGCAGCAGGGCGUACCCUUUUUGAAAAUAACACGUUCCCUCGUGAGAUAGAGAUAGGCUAGGUUUCUACGUGAAAUUGUUUAUCGGGUAAUCUGGUGCGCCACCCUACAGGUAUCGAAGAGUGUAGGUUCCUCGCGAGAGAAAUAUCGGUAUAGAUAUCACCUAUUACCACAAUUAUACCUCGUAUUUCAUUUACCAUGAUUCUUUCGAUAUCUAAAAAAAGAAAAAGGGAGACACGCAUAUGUAUUCCUUUUUCAACGAUGGAGAGAAUGGAUUAAUCGUUCCGUUGAAAUUUCCAUUGAUAGAAAUGGCGAAUAACGCACGCUUGUUCACUUAAAAAAAUCGGCCGUAUCAUUUUUCUCGUUGCGCGUUGUCGGCUCAUUUUUUCGAGCGGUGGCGCUCGAAGCCGAAAAGGGGUGGAAGAUACAUAGCGCGAUGCCCUGAGCGGACGCCGACCCAUUUCUCUUUCGCGCCUCUUUCUCUCUCGUUAACGCGACCCUAUCGCCGUUUCAUCCACGGUGCGAGUUUAAACGCCCCCGGUCCCGUCAACCUGAUUUCACUAACGAACCCGCCAAUUUAUAUUAUCGAUCGGAUCGUGUGUCCGCAGUAGGCCAACUUGACCGAGGAUUCAUCGUUAAACCGGUACCCGGCAGCCACGCUGCACCCUUAUCGUUUGCAUCCGCCAUCGCAUUGCCAGUGGCCGUUUUUUGUUUUCGAACCGUUCUCUCCAACUUUCCAUCUCUUCGAAUCUCUUCUAUCGAACGAUAACCGGUCCUUCCACCUACUCUCUCUCUCUCUCUCUCUCUCUGUAUAUAUAUAUAUGAUCAUUCACGAAUCGAGGAUGUUUCGAAAGAAUGGAAAUAAAGCUGGAUCGAAAGGA